CUUGGAACUACAUGAUGAUGUAGAUGGUCAACAAGAACAUAACCAGUCUUUGUCACCAGCAGAUGAAUGCUUUGAUGACAACUAUGAUGCAUGUCAAUCAGAGAUUGAAAGUGAAAAAGAUGAGGAUGAGGAAGAAGAGGAGGGGGCUCUUGGAGGUCGCAGGAUUGUAGAGUUGAGUGUUUAGGCUGCAAAAUUAGAUGAAGGCUGCAGUAAUUGCUCUACAGAGCUAAAACUUUCAUCCUGUGUUGGAGAAACCAGAUAUGGCUUAGGCAGCCUCCUCAAAAUUCAUUGCAAUAAUUGCAAUGAAAUUAAUAAUGUACCUACUGGCAAGAGACAUGGUCAAAAUACAUGGGAUAUUAAUACCAAAUUGGGUGCAGCUGUGGUAUUUUGUGGACUUGGAGAAAUGACCGUUAACAAUUUCCUUGCUGCUUUGAAUAUCCCCACUGUAACUUCUGUAACUUUUAAGAGACGAGAGAGGGAGGUUGGCAGUAUUUUUGAAGCUGUUGCAAAAGAGACUUGUAAUGAAGCCCUUGCCCAGGAGAA